rnacentral:snRNA from 1 species
AGCUUUGUGCAUUAGCAGUAUUGUAGCUAAUGGGGUUUAUCUGAGUCACAACUACUGCUAAUUGAAAAAUUAGUUUUCAAUAAUAGCUUAACUAAAGAAUUCUGCUUUUGGCAUAAUAGUGUAAUU